GGAACAUGUUGUUUGAGGGUCUUGAAGGCAUCUCUCAGUUCCUUUGAACCUGGGUCACGACAGGAUCCUGCUUCAUAUUUGUCACUGAGACAGUAUCAAGAGUGCAGGUGUGUUCUACAGACCAAGAAACCUGAAAUAGAGGGACCUGAAAGCCACCUGUAGAGGCUGAUGCUGUCUAUAAUGCUCUAUUGGAUAGUAAACAGAUUAUAACUCCGCAAUUCCAACAAAGAAACACAAGCAGUAUGAGGGUACAGUCUGUAUCCGUUUGUCCUUUAUCACUAAUGAAAUCAAAUAAUGCAUAUGGGACCACAUGUUUGAAGAAUAAAUACACAAUUAAAUUCUUAA